rnacentral:rRNA from 1 species
AUCAUCCUACGGGGGGCAGCAGUAGGGAAUCUUCCACAAUGGGCGAAAGCCUGAUGGAGCAACGCCGCGUGGGUGAAGAAGGUCUUCGGAUCGUAAAACCCUGUUGUUAGAAAAGAAAGUGCGUGAGAGUAACUGUUCACGUUUCGACGGUAUCUAACCAGAAAGCCACGGCUAACUACGUGCCAGCAGCCGCGGUAAUACGUAGGUGGCAAGCGUUAUCCGGAUUUAUUGGGCGUAAAGAGAACGCAGGCGGUCUUUUAAGGCUGAUGUGAAAGCCUUCGGGUUAACCGGAGUAGUGCAAUGGA